GAACUUUCCAGAGAUGGAUUGGUGCCUUCGGGAACUGUGAGACAGGUGCUGCAUGGCUGUCGUCAGCUCGUGUUGUGAAAUGUUGGGUUAAGUCCCGCAACGAGCGCAACCCUUAUCCUUUGUUGCCAGCGGUCCGGCCGGGAACUCAAAGGAGACUGCCAGUGAUAAACUGGAGGAAGGUGGGGAUGACGUCAAGUCAUCAUGGCCCUUACGACCAGGGCUACACACGUGCUACAAUGGCGCAUACAAAGAGAAGCGACCUCGCGAGAGCAAGCGGACCUCAUAAAGUGCGUCGUAGUCCGGAUUGGAGUCUGCAACUCGACUCCAUGAAGUCGGAAUCGCUAGUAAUCGUGGAUCAGAAUGCCACGGUGAAUACGUUCCCGGGCCUUGUACACACC
rnacentral:rRNA from 3 species